GUAGUUAGCCGGGGCUUCCUCCUUGGCUACCGUCACUUUCUUCGUCACCAAGGACAGAGGUUUACAAUCCGAAGACCUUCUUCCCUCACGCGGCGUUGCUGGGUCAGGCUUGCGCCCAUUGCCCAAUAUUCCCCACUGCUGCCUCCCGUAGGAGUCUGGACCGUGUCUCAGUUCCAGUGUGGCCGAUCAGCCUCUCAGCUCGGCUACCCAUCGUUGGCUAGGUGGGCCGUUACCCCGCCUACUACCUAAUGGGACGCGAACCCCUCCUUCUGCGGAUUGCUCCUUUGACCCCUGAGCCAUGCGACUCUGUGGUCUUAUGCGGUAUUAGCACUUGUUUCCAGGUGUUAUCCCCCUCAAAAGGGCAGGUUGUUCACGCGUUACUCACCCGUUCGCCACUAGCUAUAAAUCCGAAAACCUAUAGCCCGUUCGACUUGCAUGUGUUAGGCACGCCGCCAGCGUUCGUCCUGAGCCAUAGAUACAACUCUACGACUAGACGGCGGCGUCGGACGACGGCGACA
rnacentral:rRNA from 1 species